rnacentral:rRNA from 1 species
AUUGAACGCUGGCGGCAGGCUUAACACAUGCAAGUCGAGCGGGGGAAGGUAGCUUGCUACCGGACCUAGCGGCGGACGGGUGAGUAAUGCUUAGGAAUCUGCCUAUUAGUGGGGGACAACAUCUCGAAAGGGAUGCUAAUACCGCAUACGUCCUACGGGGGAAAGCAGGGGAUCUUCGGACCUUACGCUAAUAGAUGAGCCUAAGUCGGAUUAGCUAGUUGGUGGGGUAAAGGCCUACCAAGGCGACGAUCUGUAGCGGGUCUGAGAGGAUGAUCCGCCACACUGGGACUGAGACACGGCCCAGACUCCUACGGGAGGCAGCAGUGGGGAAUAUUGGACAAUGGGGGGAACCCUGAUCCAGCCAUGCCGCGUGUGUGAAGAAGGCCUUAUGGUUGUAAAGCACUUUAAGCGAGGAGGAGGCUACUCUAGUUAAUACCUAGGGAUAGUGGACGUUACUUGCAGAAUAAGCACCGGCUAACUCUGUGCCAGCAGCCGCCGUAA